rfam:Enterococcus devriesei strain DSM 22802 Scaffold11, whole genome shotgun sequence.
ACUUUCACAAAGGGGAGCCUUCGGGCUGAGAUUGAGAUUACUCUAAACCCUAGUACCUGUUUCGGUCAUUCGAGCGUAGGAAUUGUGAUGAAGUAAUGA